UACGGGGGGGGCAAGCGUUGUUCGGAAUUACUGGGCGUAAAGGGCUCGUAGGUGGCCAACUAAGUCAGACGUGAAAUCCCUCGGCUUAACCGGGGAACUGCGUCUGAUACUGGAUGGCUUGAGUUUGGGAGAGGGACGCGGAAUUCCAGGUGUAGCGGUGAAAUGCGUAGAUAUCUGGAGGAACACCGGUGGCGAAGGCGGCGUCCUGGACGGACACUGACGCUGAGACGCGAAAGCGUGGGGAGCAAACAGG
rnacentral:rRNA from 1 species